ACGGUCACAGGCUGUUAGGCGCGCCACUCACCUCAGCCGCUCGCAAAACCCUCUCCUCUCGAGAAGCAGCGCGGCGGAGACCAGAGAGAAGCAGUCGGCAGCCGGGAAGCCCGUCGCAUGCCUUUCUUCCUCGACGUGCCAUGAUUAACGGAAUAUUUGAGCACUGGGGAGUUGUAGUCAGAUCUGGAGCGACAGUGAAGUGUGACCCAGGAGAGUUCUGGUGCCAUGUUUCACUGGUUGGUUUCUACUUGUAAUGUUCACUAUUGGUUUAUCUUAUUUUUGUGCAGUUCCUGUUUUUUGACUUUUCAGUUCCUGUUUUUUGACCUCGAAAACCAACACCAUCUCUGCCCUUGGCUCCAAAUGUUGGCAUUGCAAGAGAAAUGUCACAAGUACCAAAGAAGGUAAUGAUCUUGUUCUUUCAGUAUUGGACAUCCCUAAUGUUUUUUAUCACUUGGCAUAAGCAACAUGGUGAUUGAUGUUUCAAAUGAUGAAUCUGAUGAGGAGGUUCCACAGGCUAUUCCAUUAUUCCCAAAAGCAGAUGGUAUAUAUCCUUGUUCUAUGUGCAUUUUGUUUAAGUGUCGGGGACCAUAAUUAAGGUACCCCCAAGACUCCUAAUCUCAGCUGGUAACCCCCCAUCAGCACAAAGCUGCAAAGGCCUGAUGGGUGCGAUUAAGUCAAGGCUCAGUCCACUCAAGGGACACGAUCUCGCCUCGCCCGAGCCCAGCCUCGGGCAAGGGCAGCCGACCCCGGAGGAUUUACGUCUCGCCCGAGGGCCCCCUCAGGCAACGGACACACCUUCGGCUCGCCCGAGGCCCAGUCUUUGCCAAGAAGCAACCUUGGCCAGAUCGCCACACCGACCGACCGUAUCGCAGGAGCAUUUAAUGCAAGGAUGGCCUGACACCUUAUCCUGACGCGCGCUCAUCAGUCGACAGAGCCGAAGUGACAGCAGUCACUUCGCCGCUCCACUGACCGACCUGACAAGAAGACAGCGCCGCCUGCAUCGCUCCGACUGCUGUGCC